rnacentral:rRNA from 1 species
UACGGAGGGGGCUAGCGUUGUUCGGAAUUACUGGGCGUAAAGCGCGUGUAGGCGGCCCGGUAAGUCCGCUGUGAAAGUCCAGGGCUCAACCCUGGGAUGCCGGUGGAUACUGUCGGGCUCGAGUCCGGAAGAGGCGAGUGGAAUUCCUGGUGUAGCGGUGGAAAUGCGCAGAUAUCAGGAGGAACACCAAUGGCGAAGGCAGCUCACUGGGACGAUACUGACGCUGAGACGCGAAAGCGUGGGGAGCAAACAGG